rnacentral:tRNA from 1 species
GUUUAAAUAGCUUAUAUAUAUAGAGCAUGACACUGAAGAUGUUAAGGAAAUUGAAUGAUUUUUAAAUA